UUUCUAAGGUUUGUAAUGGCAACCCGCCAAAACACGGGUUCAUAGAUAUGUAAAGGUUUUGAGACAUGUUAUCUUUUCCUUUUAUCUUACGUUAUAAAGCAUCAAUAUCUUUUCUGUAAGUUUAUUGUAAGGGAGUUAAGCAACUAAGUUUAUUAAAUCACUUGACUGUAAGCAUGAAAAUUUAAGAGUUUCGACCAAAAGAAUUUGGAAACUGCACAUUGGGGUAUAACGAAGAGAAAGAAGGACCUGGGUACAUAUUUCAAACUGCAAGGGCUCGAUUAGACGGAUAGAAUAAGAAAUGGAGUUUAAUGACCAGAUAUGUUUGCUGAGAGGAUUUCUUCAUUUCUGCGUCAUUUGGGAAGCAUAUUUGGAGUGGGCUGAAAUCUGCACUUUGCAAUUUCAGUGUUUUGCUUAAGGCUCAGAAUCAAACAUCAAAUGAAACUUAAGGCUUUUUCUUAAUAAAAACUGAAAUCUCGCUUGAAAAAAAA